UACAGAGGGUGCAAACGUUGUUCGGAAUUACUGGGCGUAAAGCGCGUGUAGGCGGCCCUGUAAGUCGGGUGUGAAAUCCCACGGCUCAACCGUGGAAGUGCACUCGAAACUACAGGGCUAGAGCCCUGGAGAGGAAGGUGGAAUGCUUGGUGUAGAGGUGAAAUUCGUAGAUAUCAAGCGGAACACCGGUGGCGAAGGCGGCCUUCUGGACAGUGACUGACGCUGAGACGCGAAAGCGUGGGGAGCAAACAGG
rnacentral:rRNA from 1 species